UACGGAAGGCAGCAGUGGGGAAUAUUGCACAAUGGGCGCAAGCCUGAUGCAGCCAUGCCGCGUGUAUGAAGAAGGCCUUCGGGUUGUAAAGUACUUUCAGUCGUGAGGAAGGUGUUAAGGUUAAUAACCUUAGUAAUUGACGUUAGCGACAGAAGAAGCACCGGCUAACUCCGUGCCAGCAGCCGCGGUAAUACGGAGGGUGCGAGCGUUAAUCGGAAUUACUGGGCGUAAAGGGCACGCAGGCGGUUAAUUAAGUUGGAUGUGAAAUCCCCGGGCUUAACCUGGGAAUGGCAUUCAAGACUGGUUAGCUAGAGUCUUGUAGAGGGGGUAGAAUUCCAUGUGUAGCGGUGAAAUGCGUAGAGAUGUGGAGGAAUACCGGUGCGAAGGCGGCCCCUGGACAAAGACUGACGCUCAUGUGCGAAAGCGUGGGGAGCAAACGAGGAUUAGAUACC
rnacentral:rRNA from 1 species